UGAACGCUAGCGGCAGGCUUAACACAUGCAAGUCGAGGGGCAGCAUUAAUUACUUCGGUAAUUAGAUGGCGACCGGCGCACGGGUGCGUAACGCGUAUGCAACCUACCUAUAACAGGGGGAUAGCCACGGGAAACCGUGAUUAAUACCGCAUAAUACUUUUGAUUGGCAUCGAUUGAGAGUUAAACUUUUAAGGGUUAUAGAUGGGCAUGCGUUCCAUUAGCUAGUUGGUAAGGUAACGGCUUACCAAGGCGACGAUGGAUAGGGGUUCUGAGAGGAUUAUCCCCCACACUGGUACUGAGACACGGACCAGACUCCUACGGGAGGCAGCAGUGAGGAAUAUUGGGCAAUGGACGCAAGUCUGACCCAGCCAUGCCGCGUGUAGGAAGACUGCCUUAUGGGUUGUAAACUACUUUUACGAAGGGAUAAAGUGAUCUACGUGUAGAUUUUUGCAGGUACUUCGUGAAUAAGCAUCGGCUAACUCCGUGCCAGCAGCCGCGGUAAU
rnacentral:rRNA from 1 species